AAGAGAAUGGAAUUUCAGAAAAAAACUUUUUUCAAGUUAAAAAUUGAAAUUUUUUUAAUUUGUGCAGAAACAAUUAUUAAUAUUAAGGACAAGAAGACCCUAUGAAUUUAUAAAUUUUAUUUAAUAUGUAACUACUAUUAAAAAAAUUUUAGCUGGGGCGGCGGAAAAAUAUUUAAAACUUUUUUAAAAUAAAAUGACCCAUUAUUAAUGAUUAUAUGUUAAAUACUCUAGGGAUAACAGCGUUAUAUUUUUUGAUAGAUCAUAUUGACAAAAAAGUUUGCGACCUCGAUGUUGGAUUAGGAUACUUUUUUAAUGCAGAUAUUAAAAAAAGAAGUUUGUUCAACUUUUAAUUUCCU
rnacentral:rRNA from 1 species